CUCUUAUCGCGAGCUGGCUGAGGGACUGGCCCUAUGAUGCCCGGCAACCGGCGCUUUCCAGGCAGGGAGGCGUAACGGUGCUAAAUCCUGCGGAAAUGUUUUUCCGAGAGAUGAGAG
rnacentral:ncRNA from 2 species